rnacentral:rRNA from 1 species
UCGUCCGCCCUGGGUUAGUCGGGACCUAAGCUGAGGCCGAAAGGCGUAGGUGAUGGACAACAGGUUGAUAUUCCUGUACUACCGAUAACCGUUUGAGAGAAGGGAUGACACAGUAGGAUAAGCUAAGCACACUGUUGGUUAUGUGUGCCCAAGCAUUGAGGCAGUCAAAGUAGGCAAAUCCGCUUUGAUAAUGCUGGGAUGUGAUGGGGAGCGAAAUUUAGUAGCGAAGUAGCUGAUUUCACACUGUCAAGAAAAGUCUCUAUCGAGGUUAAAGGUACCCGUACCGCAAACCGACACAGGUGGGUGAGGAGAGUAUCCUAAGGCCAGCGAGAGAACUGUUGUUAAGGAACUCGGCAAAAUGACCCCGUAACUUAGGGAUAAGGGGUGCCACCAUCAGGUGGCCGCAGAGAAUAGGCCCAAGCGACUGUUUACCAAAAACAUAGGUUUCUGCUAAGUCGCAAGACGAUGUAUAGGAGCUGACGCCUGCCCGGUGCUGGAAGGUUAAGGGGAUCUGUUAGAGCAAUCGAAGCAGUGAACUUAAGCCCCAGUAAACGGCGGCCGUAACUAUAACGGUCCUAAGGUAGCGAAAUUCCUUGUCGGGUAAGUUCCGACCCGCACGAAAGGCGUAACGAUUUGGGCACUGUCUCAACAACAGACUCGGUGAAAUUGUAAUUCCGGUGAAGAUGCCGGAUACCUGCGACAGGACGGAAAGACCCCAUGGAGCUUUACUGUAGCUUGACAUUGGGUCUUGGUACUACAUGUACAGGAUAGGUGGGAGGCUUUGAAACCAGGACGCCAGUUUUGGCGGAGCCAUCCUUGGGAUACCACCCUUGUAGUACUGGGACUCUAACCAUAGGCCAUGAAUCUGGUCUUGGGACACUGUCAGGUGGGCAGUUUGACUGGGGCGGUCGCCUCCCAAAAGGUAACGGAGGCGCUCAAAGGUUCUCUCAGUACGGUCGGAAAUCGUACGUAGAGUGUAAAGGCAAAAGAGAGCUUGAUUGCAAGACAUACAGGUCGAGCAAGGAUGAAAAUCGGACUUAGUGAUCCGGUGGUUCUGCGUGGAAGGGCCAUCGCUCAACGGAUAAAAGCUACCCUGGGGAUAACAGGCUUAUCUCCCCCAAGAGUCCACAUCGACGGGGAGGUUUGGCACCUCGAUGUCGGCUCAUCACAUCCUGGGGCUGUAGUAGGUCCCAAGGGUUGGGCUGUUCGCCCAUUAAAGUGGUACGCGAGCUGGGUUCAGAACGUCGUGAGACAGUUCGGUCCCUAUCCGUCGCAGGCGUAGGAAAUUUGAGAAGACCUGUCCUUAGUACGAGAGGACCGGGAUGGACGUACCUCUGGUGUACCAGUUGUCCUGCCAAGGGCAUGGCUGGGUAGCUAUGUACGGAAUGGAUAAGCGCUGAAAGCAUCUAAGCGCGAAGCCAACUUCAAGAUAAGAUUUCCCACCGCAAGGGUAAGACCCCAGAAAGACUAUCUGGUUGAUAGGUCGAAGGUGUAAGUGCAGCAAUGUAUUUAGCUUAUCGAUACUAAUAGGUCGAGGACUUGACCAA